GCUGGAGUAGGCGCGCUGAGAGGCCCAUAAAAUCUCUGCCUGCAAUUCCCUGCCGCCAUAUGCUCCAAGAGGUGUUUGUUCGGCAUUUCUUCAGUUUCAGGCUGAUCUUUAGAACUGGACUGGAAUUGUACUUUCCUGGAUCUCCAGCUUGCAGAUGGCAGAUUGUGGAACUUCUCGGCCUGCACAAUCGUUCCUGGCCCUGCAUUCCAGAAACCUAGAAAUUCACAGAAGACUUGUCUGUGG